GAGUUUGAUCCUGGCUCAGGAUGAACGCUGGCGGCGUGCCUAAUACAUGCAAGUCGAGCGAACGGACGAGAAGCUUGCUUCUCUGAUGUUAGCGGCGGACGGGUGAGUAACACGUGGAUAACCUACCUAUAAGACUGGGAUAACUUCGGGAAACCGGAGCUAAUACCGGAUAAUAUUUUGAACCGCAUGGUUCAAAAGUGAAAGACGGUCUUGCUGUCACUUAUAGAUGGAUCCGCGCUGCAUUAGCUAGUUGGUAAGGUAACGGCUUACCAAGGCAACGAUGCAUAGCCGACCUGAGAGGGUGAUCGGCCACACUGGAACUGAGACACGGUCCAGACUCCUACGGGAGGCAGCAGUAGGGAAUCUUCCGCAAUGGGCGAAAGCCUGACGGAGCAACGCCGCGUGAGUGAUGAAGGUCUUCGGAUCGUAAAACUCUGUUAUUAGGGAAGAACAUAUGUGUAAGUAACUGUGCACAUCUUGACGGUACCUAAUCAGAAAGCCACGGCUAACUACGUGCCAGCAGCCGCGGUAAUACGUAGGUGGCAAGCGUUAUCCGGAAUUAUUGGGCGUAAAGCGCGCGUAGGCGGUUUUUUAAGUCUGAUGUGAAAGCCCACGGCUCAACCGUGGAGGGUCAUUGGAAACUGGAAAACUUGAGUGCAGAAGAGGAAAGUGGAAUUCCAUGUGUAGCGGUGAAAUGCGCAGAGAUAUGGAGGAACACCAGUGGCGAAGGCGACUUUCUGGUCUGUAACUGACGCUGAUGUGCGAAAGCGUGGGGAUCAAACAGGAUUAGAUACCCUGGUAGUCCACGCCGUAAACGAUGAGUGCUAAGUGUUAGGGGGUUUCCGCCCCUUAGUGCUGCAGCUAACGCAUUAAGCACUCCGCCUGGGGAGUACGACCGCAAGGUUGAAACUCAAAGGAAUUGACGGGGACCCGCACAAGCGGUGGAGCAUGUGGUUUAAUUCGAAGCAACGCGAAGAACCUUACCAAAUCUUGACAUCCUUUGACAACUCUAGAGAUAGAGCCUUCCCCUUCGGGGGACAAAGUGACAGGUGGUGCAUGGUUGUCGUCAGCUCGUGUCGUGAGAUGUUGGGUUAAGUCCCGCAACGAGUGCAACCCUUAAGCUUAGUUGCCAUCAUUAAGUUGGGCACUCUAAGUUGACUGCCGGUGA
rnacentral:rRNA from 1 species